GGACCUUUAGCUCAGUUGGUUAGAGCAGUCGGCUCAUAACCGAUCGGUCCCGGGUUCGAGUCCCCGAAGGUCCA
rnacentral:tRNA from 1 species